UUAUAUCGAGGUUCGAAUCUGAUUUCGGAAGUUGGAGUAGGCCUAUAGCGUUGAAUAUGACUAGUGUGCAAAAUUUAGGGUCAAUCAGACGUGGUUUGGUUGGUUUCAACAUCAGAUAUAGAAUUUUAGAGUAAUUAGGUUUGGAUUGGAGGGUGAUUCAUGGUUUUAGUGUUGUUUCAUGUGAUUUGAGGGCUCGACUAAGUUGGUAUAGUAUUUUAGGAUUGGUUGGUAUGUUUGGUUGAGGUCAUGUAGGCCUCUGGUGAGUUUCAAAUGCUUAAUGGAUGAGAAUGUGGACUUAGGCAAAUACUUAAAUUGGUUUCUUCUGGUACUUUCGCAUCUUCGAUUAGGAACCCACAGGUGCUACCUUGUAGAAGCGAGGAAGGAGGUUGCAGGUGCGGUGUGAGGCAAAAAGACAAGUGGUCGCAGAUGUUUCUCAAGAGCCGCAGAGAAUUGAGUGUGGGUGUUGUGCUUAGGGAAUUAAUGAAAUUCCACAAAUGCAGAGCCCUAGCCUUAGAAGAAGGACUUCAGGUGCGGUCCUAGGAGCGCAGAUGCGGACAUCGCUGGGAAGAAAAGGGAAAUUUUGAGGGUUUGAAUUUCAUAACAUCAAAUUUGAUUAUUACCUAGAUGAAGGCGAUUUUGUGACGAUUUUGAAGAGGACAUCAGUGGUAACUAUUCUUAGCCCUAUUUCGUUUAUAUUUCAUCAAUCUCUAGUAAUUUUCUCAAUCUGAUCAAGAAGUUUGAGUGGAAAAAUGAGAAUUUAGGGGAAAAGUUCGCCAAUCAAAUUUUUGGGUUUUGAUCGGGUUUUAAGUGUCAGAAUUGAAUAAUUUUGGACAAAUUAUCUCAUGAGUAAAUGAACAUAAAUUUUAUCUGAUUCCGAGAUGUGGGUCCGAAGAUGAUUUUUAAGUGUUUUCCUAUUUUCUCGCUGUAGCAUUAAAUUUAUUAGCUAGAUUAGUUGCUUGUAGCUAUACUUACGUUAUGUAAUUGAUUUGAUUAAAUUUGGGCCACUUGGAGUUGCAUACUCGUGGCAAGAGCGUGAUAUCGAACUGAUUUUUUUACCUUGGUUCGCGGUAAGUGGCUUGCCUAAACUUGUGGUUGAAUUCCUUUUAGGAUUUUGGUACUAUUGUUAUAUGAAUGUUGUGUACGUGAGGUGAUGAGUACGUACAUGUGCUAAUUGUCUAAAACCCCCAUUUUUAUUAAGUAAAUAUUUGUGUUUUUCCUUGGAUUGAUAAAUACUAGUUCAUGUAUCAUCUUGCUUAGCUUAGGAAAACAUGCUUACGAACCUUAAC
rnacentral:lncRNA from 1 species